rnacentral:lncRNA from 1 species
ACUUAGAGGCCCAGACCAUGAGAUAACCGUCGAGAAUGGGAUACCGACUGCAGAAAAUCAUAAAGCAUUGCCAUCUUUGCUUUCAAAAUCUGUUGUAAUUGGGAGUCCUAAUGCAGUUGAAGCUUCCCAACCUUGUAACCUUCAUGUCAGGACUGGAAAAGAGAAAGGAAGAAGGCGAAGGAAGAGAAAGGGUGUUGCUGCAGGUUUAGCUGGACUUUUUGAAGUUUCAAGUAGUCAAAGUGGGAAUUCUACACCUUCCUCCCCUCUGUCUCCUGUAACCAAUGUCACUCCCAAUCGUACUUUAUCACCACCUCCUGACAUGGAAUCUAUUGAGGCUAGAAAUCCAUUCUCUCAAGUGGCUGACCAGCAGUGUAAGAAGGUUCAGGCAGCUGUAUCCAUUUCCAAGGCAUCUGUAUUGGAGCC